rnacentral:lncRNA from 1 species
AUGGAUGGGAGGGAAAGCUACUCUGGAAAGAGGAAAAGUCCCAGGACUGAGGAGCAGAAGCAGAAAGCCUGGAUAGUUGCCAGUUUGGGCGGGGAAGGAAGUGGCAGAAGGGGGAGCAAGGCCAGAGGGGAGCCUGGAAAGACCAGGAAUGACUUGCAUUCUUGUGAUCACGAAGAUUCAGAGCACGCUCGGCAGUCGUUGGGAUCUGCUGCUUCUCUGCACAUGAGCACCAGCAUUGAGUGGUCAGGAUUCUCUGCACACCCACGUUCAAGAUGUGUUACAAAGAGCAUUUGUGCCCAGCCUCCUAAUAGAAGCGGAGGGCUGUAAUUUUGUCUCCCCAGCUCACCGCCCCCAGCAUCUCAACCACCUGUCCGCACUUUCCGAGAAUCAGCCUCCCCAUCUGUGAAUCUAGUUACGGCCGCCGGGCUCCUUGGUGAUGCUGUGUCCUCUGUGCCUCUUUGUGGUCUAAAGAUGGAGCCCCAAGGAGCCAAGAAAGUCAAGGGCAUCCCUGUGAAUUUGGCAACAGAACAAAGAGAUGUAAGUUUAUACUCUUUCUUUCUGGGAGCAGCAGAUAACAGCCCCUUCCUGCCCUGGGGACUGGGAACAGAGCGAGAUAAGAGAUAAGCCCUGAAAUCAACACCCAGAGUGGGGCCUAGGUGAGGUGGGAGGGGCCUGACAGACUUGGAGACCUCCCCAAGGUCCACAUGGCCUUUCUGAGUUUCCCUGUGACUGGCCCACAUCCUAAAACUAAAUUCGUCUUGUUUACCAAAGCUGGUCAGUUCUGUCAUCUGAAAGUCAGUACAAUAGUUAAUAUCUUUACAUUGUCUUUAAUAACUCGUCAUUUCCUUUUCUGAAAAGAAGCACAUACCCUUGGGCUUCCCAGGGGGCGCUAGUGGUGAAGAACCCACCUGCCAAUGCAGGAGACACAGAAGACAGGGGUUUGAUCCCUGGAUCGGGAAGAUCCCCUGGAGGAGGGCAUGGCAACCCUCUACAGUAUUCUUGCCUGGAGAAUCCCACAGACAGAGGAGCCUGGCGGGCCACGGUCCGUGAGGUUGCAGAGUCAGACACAACUGAAGCAACUUAGCACACAGGCAGGCACGCACACUUGCUUAGGAAACUUUUCCAAGGACCUGGGACUGUCCUUAUUUACAUGUGGGAUCUGCAUCCACUCUUAGAGGCGCAGAAAAAGCACACUGGUGAUUCCAUUCUGCACCCAUGUGUGUGCAUUUUAUCUGUGCUUAAAAUAAAAGUAAAAAUAACAGUACUGUAUUUUAAA